UUUAAAAUGAAAUGUAUAUUAAAAAUAUUAAAUGCGGAAGCAAAGUCAAAAAUUCGAUUAACAUCCCUUACACUAAAACCAAAAACGUGCUCACAAAUAUAAAAGAUCAAACUACCUAAAGGAGAAAACUUGAAGGUAAAAGCUACGAAUAUGACUAUGGAGUCUUUAGGCGUCCCCUUCGUCGUCCUCCUGCGGAACCGGCUCGGGAACAAUGUCUUCUUGAUAUGAAAUGAUUAAAUAAGGAAUGAGCUACACUAGCCCAGUAAAGACAUCACGAUAUCUCACCGUCACGGAGGUAAAGGUGGGUAGAAAACAUAAAAAGACCAAUGGAGCAUAAUUUACAACAAAUUCUUUAAUCAAUAAUAAAUCCUUCACCAUCCACUUACCUCGGUGAAAUCCAUAAAACAGUAUACGAAAGCAAUAACAUUAUCAUCAUCAUGAAAUUAUAUAUGAACUGUAUAACAUAAUACUUAUCACACCUUUUGUAAUUCAAUCAUUACACAACAUAUUUUCCUCAUUUACCAGCCCACUAGUAUCCAUAGGGAUCCAUAGGGGUCCCGCUACCCGUUAACCCUUAACACUUGAAAUCAGAUUCCAGGGCCGUCCCCAUACCCCGUCCGGUAUGGGCGCCAAAACUACAAACCCCAUUACCCCGUCCGGUAUGGGCACCAAAACACAUAAGGUCUUCAUACCCCGUUCGACAUGAGAGACCACAAUCCCGGUAGGGUUCCCUACGGACCCGGUUCGUCCACCAUCUCCCAGGAUAUCUAGUCAGGCUGACCACAUUAUACAAUUACCCAUUUACAUAAUCUUUCAUUCUCCUUUUCCUCAGUCAGCAUCAUCAAUUCACAUACAAACAAGCAAAACAGUAAUUUAUGCCAAACAGGCAACAUACAGCAUCAGUAUCUCAGUCAUUCAAUCCAUAAUCAAUAAAACAGUAAAAUAUGCACACGAAACUAUAAAAUAAAAACAUCAAACCUCAUACUGCAUUUAAAACUGCAAAAUAGGCCAAAUAACAGUUAACCGACAAAUACACUAGACUCGGGCUCCAGCGACCUUAAGCAAUUUCACACAUUCGUUGAUUCAAGAAAUACCAUUUUAUCAUUAUUGAACUUUAAUACCGUGAUAGGAAAUAGGGUGAGGGGUCCUUACUCGUUUCGGGGUCCGAACACGGCUUCACAGUGCACCUACAGGCUGUCCCUAAUUUUCCCUGAAUUUUUCCCGGAGAACUGAAACGCACUACUGGUACCUGCACGUAUUCCAAAAAAUCGCAAAUUAGGCCCAGGGCCCCUUUUUGGCCAAUAUCGCAAUUCCAGCACGGCGGCUCUGCCGUGCUCCGGCAACGGCACCGCCGCAAACGGCGGCGAUCCACCUCGGUUUGGCUGUUUUCGGCCGAAUUUGGCCACACUUGCAUCGAUUCUUGCGAUAAAACAACCCUAGGGCCCUCGGGGGGCCAAAAAAUUACGGAAAACCGAAGCUUACCGGCGGCGGUGCUCUUGGGUGCGGCGGCUCUCCGGUGAAGUUCGUGUUUUGGUGAUUCGGCUCUGAUCAACCUGUAGAGAAAAGAAUGGUGAUCACGGUGAUAUAAAAAUCGCAUCAAACGGAGGCCGGGAAGGGCCUCAUCGGAGGCAAAAACCGAGAAGGGGCGCGGCGGCGCCGCUGGGUUUCAGUCAUGUUUUCCGGCCGUUUGGCCAGGAUUUUGGCUCCGAUUUGGCCACAGGGGAAAUUAGCGUGGAAAAACGAGUCGGGGGUAUAAAAUUUACCUCGAUCGGCGGUCGGAAAUCUCCCCGGUGCGACGGCGGGUGGCGGCGGCUGGCGUCUCCGGCGUCUGGUUCGUCUUCUCUGGCGAGGGCAGGCGGCUAGGGUUUUUGUGGUCUGGUGUGGGGGUUCUAUUUAUACCCUUUUGCCUUUUGAUCUCAGCCGUCCAUUUUGUUUUAAUCUGGGCCGUCCGUUUUUUGAUUAAAUCUGGGCCGUCCGUACGAUUGCAUCUGGGCCGUCCGUACGCACGCUUGAUCUAGGCCGUCCGAUCGCCCGUAUGCGGAUCGCCAACGUGGCCCGUCCCCGGUCGACGUGGUUUUGCCACGUGGCAGGUCUUGGUUGGCCGGGACUGCUGACUGGGUCUGCUGUGGGGGGUUCUAUUUAUACCUUUUUGCCUUUUGAUCUCAGCCGUCCAUUUUGUUUUAAUAUGGGCCGUCCGUUUUUUGAUUAAAUCUGGGCCGUCCGUGCGAUUGCAUCUGGGCCGUCCGUACGAACGCUUGAUCUGGGCCGUCCGUACGCACGCUUGAUCUGGGCCGUCCGAUCGCGCGUACGCGGAUCGCCAACGUGGCCCGUCCCCGGUCCACGUGGUUUUGCCACGUGGCAGGUCCUGGUUGGCCGUGACUAGCUGACGUGGCCCCUUUUUUUUUUUUUUUUUUUUUUCCUUCUUCAAAUUCCCGGGCGUUACAAUUUAUGGUUAGAUGUGUAUUCCACAACAUUUAUAAUUUUUAAUUUAUGUUUAUGUACACAUGUAUAAAAAUCUAAAGAUGUGAUUGGUGUUCUAGGUUCUUUAUUUUUCAGGUCUAAGUUGGUAAUUGUGUGACUUGUGUUGUGAUGUAUGUAGUUAGUAAUAUUUUAAUUGAUUAAAGUUAUUUUAUGUAUUUUUUUUCUAAUUGUGUCAAUAUAUAAAUAAAGAUUGUGUCUUUUUCUAUUAACAUGUGCUUUUUGAAUGAAAGGCGAUAAUUAAUUAUUUAAUAUGAUAUUAAAGCCAACUUAGGGUUGUUUAUGCAUGAUAAACAAUUUCAUCUAAGUUGGUGUAUGCACUAAUUUUUCGUACAUGCAUUUCUCGCAACAAAAAAACUCUAAUAAUGCCAUACAUAUGCAUCUUUGUAUUAGUAGAAUGCUUAAUUUGAAAUAGUUAAAGGGCCUAAAGACCUAAAACUAGAUAGUUCUAUGGUAGAAUACCAUUAAUUAGGUCAUAAAAAAUCAAAUAUUUGUUAGAAUGAGUAAAAAGAGGGAAGAAGCCUAAGAUGACAUGCCCUAUGGGAAGGUGGCAUGUCAAGAGGAAGACCAUCUUGUUAGUCCUCCUAGCAUGCCCUAGUGAGUGGUGCUUCACUCUUAUUUUGUAAACUAAAUCUAAUAGCAACUAGUUUAUUAUGUUACUAGUCUUAGCAAUUUGUGUGAUAAUACUUUAUUUAACCAAUUAUUUGGUUAUUGAAAAUUUUAAAUUUAGAGAUCUUUCAAAUUAAUUGGUAAUUAAAAUCUUUUGUUUGGAAAGAAUUGUAAGAUAAACGUAGAUUGGGAAUCAAGAUAAUUUAAAAUUAGAGAAGAUUUCAAAAAAAUCAAAUGAAAUCAAACUACACAUUAGUAUUAUCUAUUCUAAUAACUCAUCCAUUUUAUGAACUUAUUCGAUACAACAUAUACUACCACAUACAUGCCACCUUGAUAUUAGCAUAUCACAUCAAGUAACUAUUAAUACCACUACCCUUAACAAGAUUAUAAUAAAAGAUGAUUUUGGUCGAUUCAAAUUUUAAUCCAUGUCUUCUGCUCUUCAGAGUUUCUAGAUUUUAGUAUUAUUUGUAGCGCCCGGAAAGGAGGAGGAAAAAAAAAAAAAAAAAAAAAAAAAAAAAAAAAGGGGGGGGCCACGUCAGCAGCCACGUCAGCAGGCCCGGUCAGCAGUCCCGGCCAACCGGGGCCUGCCACGUGGCAAGAUCGCGUCACUCCGAAAGGAGCCACGUUGGCGAUCCGCGUGGGUGCGAUCCGACGGCCCAGAUCAAUCACGCGAUCGGACGGCCCAGAUUCAAACGCACGGACGGCCCAGAUUCAAUCAAAAACGAACGGCCCAGAUUAAAACGAAACGAACGGCUGUGAUCAAAAGGCAAGGGGUUAUAAAUAGAACCCCCACACCAGACCAAAAAACCCUAGCCGCCAGCCGCUCGCCGGAGAAGACGAACCAGAGGCCGACCGCCGCCACCCGCCGCCACUCGCCGCCGCACCGGGGAAAUUUCCGACCACCGAUCGAGGUAAAUUUCAUACCCCCGACUCGUUUUUCCCCACUGAUUCCUCCUAUGGCCAAAUCGAAGCCGAAAUCCCGGCCAAACGGCCGGAAUACGCGGCCGAAGCCCAGCGGCGCCGCCGCGCCCCCUCUCGGUUUUUGCCUCCGACGAGGCCCUUCCCGGCCUCCGUUCGAUGCAAUUUUUAUAUCACCGUGAUCACCAUUCUUUUCUCUACAGGUUGACCGAAGCCAAAUCACCAAAACACGAACUUCGCCGGAGAGUCGCCGUACCCGAGAGCGCCGCCGCCGGUAAGCUCCGUUUUUUCGUGAUUUUUUGGCCCCCCGAGGGCCCUAGGGUUGUUUUCUGACAAGGACCAAUGCGAGUGUGGCCGAAUUCGGCCAAAAAGGCCGAAAACAGUCAACCCGAGGCGACUCGCCGCCGCCAGCGGCGGCGCCGUCGCCGGAGCACGGCGGAGCCGCCGUGCCGGAGUUGCGAUUUGGGCCGAAAGAGGCCCUGGGCCUAAUUUGGAUUUUUUUUGGAACCCGUGCAGGUACUGUUAGCGUGUUUCAGUUCCCCGGGAAAAAUUCAGGGGAAAAUUAGGGACAGCCUGCAGGCGCACUGUGAAUCGUAUUCGGAUCCCGAAAACAAGUAAGGACCCCUCACCCUAUUUCCUAUCACGGUAUUAAAGUUCAAAAUGAUAAAACAGUAUUUCUUGAAUUAACGCAUGUGUGAAAUUGCUUAAGGUUGCUAAUGGAGCCCGAGUCUAGUGUGAUUGAUGAUUUACUGUUAUUUGGCCUGUUUACAGCUUUAAAUGCAAAAUGAGGUUUGAUGUGUUCAUUUUACAGAUUUGUGUGCAUGUACUACGUUUUUAUUAAUUAUGGGUUGAAUGACUGAAAAACUGAUACUGUAUGUUGUCUGUUUGGUAUGAAUUACGAUUUGCUUGUUUAAAUGUGAAUUGAUGAUGCUGAUUGAGGAAAAGGAAAAAUGAAAGAUUGUGUAAACUGAUAAUUGUAUUAUGGGGGUCAGCCUGACUAGAUAUCCUGGGAGAUGGUGGACGGACCGGGUCCGUAGGGAACCCUACCGGGAUUGUGGUCUCACAUGCCGGACGGGGUAUGGAGAUCUUAUGGUUUUGGCGCCCAUACCGGACGGGGUAUGGGGACGGCCCGUUUCACCCUCAUACCGGACGGGGUAUUGAGGUUUAUGGUUUUGGCGCCCAUACCGGACGGGGUAUGGGGACGGCCCGUUUCACCCUCAUACCAGACGGGGUAUUGAGGUUCAUGGUUUUGGCGCCCAUACCGGACGGGGUAUGGGGACGGCCCUGGAAACUGAUUAUGAAUGUUAAAGGUUAACGGGUAGCGGAACCCCUAUGGACCCCCACGGAUACUAGUAGGCUGGUAAAUGAGAAAAAAAGAUAUGUUGUACAAUGAUUGAAUUACAAGAGGCGUGAUAAGUGUUAUGUUUUACAGCUUAGAUUAUUCAAUGAUUAUGAUAAUGUUAUUGUUUUCUCAUAUUGUUUUCAUAAAUUCCACCAAGGUAAGUGGAUGGUAAAAGUUUUAUUAUUGAUAAAAGGUUUUGUUGUUAAUAAACGAGUUUAUUGUAAAUUAUGCUCCAUUGGUCUUUUUGUGGUUUUCUACCCACCUUUAUCUCCGUGACGGUGAGAUAUCGUGAUGUUCUUACUGGGCUAGUGUAGCUCACUCCUUAAUUAACCAUUUCAGAUCAGGAAGACAUGGUUCCCGAGCCCGUUCCGCAGGAGGACGACGAAGGGGAUGCCUAGAGACUCUGUAGUCAUACGCAUAGUUUAUUUUCGAGUUUUCUUUCUUAGUUAGUUUAACCUUUUAUAUUUUAAGUACGUUUGUUUGGUUUUUCGUGUAAGGGAUGUUAACUGAAAUUUUGAUCUCGCUUCCGCAUUUGAUAUAUUUAAAUACUCAUUUCAUUUUUAUAUUUUCCGGGGUCGUUACAUUAUUCUUAUAUGAGAGUAAAAGUUCGAAGCUUUUAAGUAAGGAAGAAACGCAUGCAAAAGCAAUGGGAAGGAGGUGAAUGGACAAAUCUAGCAGCUAAGUAAAAACUAAAAAUUUUCUUCACAUAUUGUUAAAGAGAAUAUUUUGAUUGAAUCAAAAAGACGAAAAAUACCAUAUAGCAUGAGACAGAGGGAGAGAAGAAAAUAAAGGGUUAACUCAGAAAAGUGAACAAAAAUCUUUUUCCAAUUAUAGCAUUGAGGUUUCAGUUGAAUAACAUGGGAGGUUUUGCUAGUUUAACUCAAAGCUCAUUGUUGGGAGGACUCCAAGUACCUAUGAGUCUGUGAACAAUUUUCUUCUAACUUUUUGAGCUUUAACAGAUUUAUUGAUGAGUGAUGGUUGUGUACUUAGAUUCAUAUGGUUAAUGAAGUGUCAAUAUCAGUAUUAUGUUAUGGUUGUAAAACAUAGGGGAAAUUUGAAAAAAAAAAAAUCCUUCCCAAGCAAGGACUUUAGAUAAUGUGCACGAUCCAUUCUUCGAAGAUGAUGUACUUUUAAAAGUUUAAAAAAUGAUAAAAGAAAAUGUUGUUUGCAUUGCAUGGGGUUUAUUGCACGUUAAGAAAAAUAUAGUUCUUCAUCCAUUUAUUCCAAAUACGAUCAACCAUCUAAAUCCUUUCAUUGCAAAUUUGAUCGAUCAUAUGAUAUUUUGACCAUAUGUUUCUUCAUUCAAGUUUUUAGCACGUUGAGAAGAUAACUAAUUAUCAACUUUGAAUUGUAUAUUUUCGAUUAUAAUCUCAAAGUUUGCAUAAGAACAAAAUGAAUUGACAUUUUUUGUAUGGGAAGAUAAAAUGAAGUUGAUAUGAAUGAAUUUUGUAAUUUAAUCCUUAUGAAUUUGUGUAAAAAAUAUUGUAGAUGACUAUGAAAUUUAUGUAUUUUAAUUAUGUAUUUGUAAUUAUAUAUAUAAUAUUUUAAUGUAUUUUAAAUAAUAAUAUUUAUAUUUAAUAAUAUAAAUUUAGAAUCUUAUACAGGAUCAACAGAUAGCAGAUAUAAGUGAUAAAAAAUUUUAUCAACAGUUAACUGUCUGUAAAAGACUAAUAUAUAUAAAUCGAAAGUCUGUUGAUAUAGAAUAAUAACUUAUACUGACAAUAUAUUACUAUUUGUAUACAUCCUGUGACCUAUUCCGUAGCCAAUAUAAUUAUCGAAACAAACCCAAUAAAAAUCAUGGUGUUCAAGAAAAAGAUAGAAAAAAUCGAACUUUAAAAGAGGGAGACACAACUGAUAAUGUGUGUCUCACACCUUUCCACCUAAGACAUUUUCGACCUUAAUUUCUUUAAGGUCGAUGAUUGUGUGUUUGAUAUCUAAUUACACCUCAAAAAAAUCAAUAACAACUCUCGAAGAUUAUCGAUGUAUAUUAUCAUGUUCGUAAUAGAUGCUUCACACAUUUCUACUUGAGAUUAUUUCCAACAUUUUUCUUUAAAAAUGACAAAUAUGGGUUUUGAAUUUUUAAUUCCACCUCAAAUAAAUUAACAGCAACUCUCUUAAGUUUUCACAAAAAAUAAUUAAAUUUUCAACGAGUCUUUGUCAUCUAAUUACUCGAAGUUGUGAGACACCCUUAUUGUGCCAUUUUGGUCCCGAUUUUGGGAUGUCUUUGCUCAUACUUUUCAAUUAUAAUUCACUCAAUUUUGCUAUAUAUAUAGUUGAAUGAACACCCGAUCAAUCUUGUCAUUACAGUUAUCAAUGAACUAAUAUCUUCUUCUCAGUUGUAAAUUUUUAGUUCUUAUAUGAAUAAAUAAUUUUACAUUCAUUCAACUUAGUCUACAACAUAAUUAAAAUAAAAUUCUCAUAAACAUAACUGAAGGAUAUGAUAUUUUGGUAGUACAUUGUCCAUUAAAUAUAUAUAUAUAUAUAUAUAAUCAAGAAUCUAAAUUUCCAACAAAAUAUCUUGCAUAACUAUGGAAGUAAAUAUCACCUCGAUUAUUAAGGUAUCUUCGCGAAUAUAACCUUUUGAUUCAUUGAGUAGAUCUACUAAUGAAAUAAAUUUUGAAAAACCCCAAGCCUUCCAUGGAGGGUAUCUAAAUGUAUUAGUCACUGAA
rnacentral:lncRNA from 1 species